rnacentral:lncRNA from 1 species
AAACCCAAAAAUCCCCUAAAAACCCUAAAAACCCGAAAAUACCCCUUAAAAACCCUAAAAAUCCAAAAAUACCCUUAACAAACCCUAAAAACCCAAAGUUAAAAAAACACCCUAAAACUCAAAAAAUUCAACUUAAAAAUCCCAAAACCCCAAAAAUACCCCUUAGAAAUCAUAAAAACCCGAAAAUACCCCUUAAAUACUCUAAAAACUCAAAAAAACCACCUAAAAACCCUAAAAACCCAAAAAUACCACUAAGAAACCAUAAAAACCUAAAAAUUCCCCUUAAAAACCCAAAAACAGAAAAAUAUCCCUUAAAAACCCUAAAACCCCAAAAAUACCCCUUAAAAACCAUAAAAACCCCAAAAUACCCCUUAAAAACCUUAAAAAUAUGAAAAGACCCCUAAAAAAGGCUAAAACCCAAAAAUACCCAAAAAAACCCUAAAAAUCCAAAAUUUCCCCUUAAAAAUCCUAAAAACCAAAAAUAUCCCUUAAAAACCAUAAAAACCUAAAAAUGCCCCUUAAAAACCCUAAAAACAAAAAAAUAUCCCUUAAAAACCCUAAACACCCAAAAAUACCCAAAAAUAUCCCUUAAAAACCUUAAAAACCCAAAAAUACCCCUUAAAAACCCCAAAAACAGAAAAAUACCCCUUAAAAACCAUAAAANNN